rnacentral:rRNA from 1 species
UGGGGAAUUUUGGACAAUGGGCGAAAGCCUGAUCCAGCCAUGCCGCGUGCAGGAUGAAGGCCUUCGGGUUGUAAACUGCUUUUGUACGGAACGAAAAGACUCUGGUUAAUACCUGGGGUCCAUGACGGUACCGUAAGAAUAAGCACCGGCUAACUACGUGCCAGCAGCCGCGGUAAUACGUAGGGUGCAAGCGUUAAUCGGAAUUACUGGGCGUAAAGCGUGCGCGGGCGGUUAUAUAAGACAGAUGUGAAAUCCCCGGGCUCAACCUGGGAACUGCAUUUGUGACUGUAUAGCUAGAGUACGGCAGAGGGGGAUGGAAUUCCGCGUGUAGCAGUGAAAUGCGUAGAUAUGCGGAGGAACACCGAUGGCGAAGGCAAUCCCCUGGGCCUGUACUGACGCUCAUGCACGAAAAGCGUGGGGAGCAAACAGGAUUAGAUACCCUGGUAGUCCACGCCCUAAACGAUGUCAACUGGUUGUUGGGUCUUCACUGACUCAGUAACGAAGCUAAACGCGUGAAGUUGACCGCCUGGGGAGUACGGCCGCAAGGUUGAAAACUCAAAUGAAUUGACGGGGGUCAUAGCU